rnacentral:rRNA from 1 species
UGAAUAUGGGGGGACCAUCCUCCAAGGCUAAAUACUCCUGACUGACCGAUAGUGAACCAGUACCGUGAGGGAAAGGCGAAAAGAACCCCGGCGAGGGGAGUGAAAAAGAACCUGAAACCGUGUACGUACAAGCAGUGGGAGCCUCUUUUAUGGGGUGACUGCGUACCUUUUGUAUAAUGGGUCAGCGACUUAUAUUCUGUAGCAAGGUUAACCGAAUAGGGGAGCCGAAGGGAAACCGAGUCUUAACUGGGCGUUAAGUUGCAGGGUAUAGACCCGAAACCCGGUGAUCUAGCCAUGGGCAGGUUGAAGGUUGGGUAACACUAACUGGAGGACCGAACCGACUAAUGUUGAAAAAUUAGCGGAUGACUUGUGGCUGGGGGUGAAAGGCCAAUCAAACCGGGAGAUAGCUGGUUCUCCCCGAAAGCUAUUUAGGUAGCGCCUCGUGAAUUCAUCUCCGGGGGUAGAGCACUGUUUCGGCAAGGGGGUCAUCCCGACUUACCAACCCGAUGCAAACUGCGAAUACCGGAGAAUGUUAUCACGGGAGACACACGGCGGGUGCUAACGUCCGUCGUGAAGAGGGAAACAACCCAGACCGCCAGCUAAGGUCCCAAAGUCAUGGUUAAGUGGGAAACGAUGUGGGAAGGCCCAGACAGCCAGGAUGUUGGCUUAGAAGCAGCCAUCAUUUAAAGAAAGCGUAAUAGCUCACUGGUCGAGUCGGCCUGCGCGGAAGAUGUAACGGGGCUAAACCAUG